AACGCACAUUGCGCCUGCUUGCAGGCAUGCCCGUUCGAGCGUCGCUACUAAUUAGAAUCUCGCUUUUUUGUGAGAAUCUGUGUUGGACGAGCCCAUCUGGGCCGUCCGGAAAGCAGUGGCCACAAUGGCACCGAUCACGGUCGACAGGAGUCAGCCGCGGCGUCUAUUGCGAGUCUCAACUCUCUCUUUUUGACCUCGAAUCGGGUAGGGAUACCCGCUGAACUUAA
rnacentral:misc_RNA from 1 species